ensembl:lncRNA
CAUAGAUCUACCCAGUGCUCCAGGUUUCUGGAGUUUGGGUGCAGAUUUCUGGAAACUAAAAACUGGUGUGAUUUGUGAUCUUCGUUCCACAUGCCACUGCUGCUGCUCUUGACACCAAAAAGGGAGCUUAGAAAGAACUUUUCUCUACCAUCAUCAGCUUCAUGAUACUGAGUAAGUCAUUUAAACUCUACAAGAUUCACCUCACCUUCAAAAGGAAGAUAAGAAAGAAAGAAAGAAAGAAAGAAAGAAAGAAAGAAAGAAAGAGUGAGUCAUGCUCAAGCUUUUGUUUUCACUUAAUCCUCACCCCACAAUCCAGUUUUAUGACUGUAAUUUUACUUCUUCUAUCCUUUUUGUUCUCUACUAGACAAGGAACUAUAUAGAAAACCAAUCUUCAGAUAAACCUAUCAGUGCUAGUUGUGGUUAAUAAUUUAAAGGGUCUACCUCUCAAAGGAAGGUACAUUUUAAUAGAUAAACUCCAUUUCCUAGUUUAAAAAAAUAAAAUGUUCAGUCCCUGCCAGAUUCUGUUAUUCAUGUGGAUUCAGUAGUUAAAGUAGAAUUUCCCAAAGUGUGCUACAUGCAGGAGUUCCAUGGUCAAAUAAAUUUUUAAACUACAACACCAAUUCCUGCUUUUGUUCGUGAUAAAUAAAAGGGUCUGGAUUUACUUUCCUUCCUGAAAUAGCAGUAAAACCUAGAAAAUAUGCAAAACAACAGUUUUUAAGACUGCCCAUCAUGCCACCAAAGGCAGCAGUUGCUGAGGGAUAGGAAACAACAGGGCGUCCUUUGCACACCCCAGCUGUCUGCCUCAGAGAACUCCCAGGCUCCCAUGCAGGAAGUAGAAACCCAGGUUAGCAGAGGAGAUGGUGCUGGAGGUGUGGGGAGAGCACAAUGGCCAGAGUUCCUAGGAUAGGACACAGAAGGGAAGCCCUGGAGAUCUGCCGAGGUCCGUCAUGAUUACAUAGGAGGCUAUAGACCCAGCCACGCAUAGAGAAAACUACUCAAGAAUAGGAAAAAUAACAUCUGGAAAAAUAAGAGCACAGUGCUUAACACUUGUGCGAAGCUGGGAGUAGUGACUGUUCCCUCCAGUCAGACUGAAAAAACUUUUAAUUCAUGACAUUUGGGUAGAAUACUUGGGAUGUUGUGCCUCAGUAGUGGGGAAUGAUAGCUUUAGAUAGAGUAUGGUUAUAGACCUGCCUAAUAAAUCAUAAAAAUUAUACCUGCAUGAUCAAGUUGUUUUUAGAUAACUGUAUCCCAGAACAAAGCUCAAGAAUAUUUAUACAAAUACAAAAAUAUCCAGUGUACAAUAAGGUGAAAUUCACAAUGUCUAGCAUCCAAACAAGAUUUCCAGGCAUUCUAAGAAGAGUAAAAUAUGACCAGCCAUUGCAAAGAGAAUAAUCAAUAAAUAAAACCAAUCCAGCCAACAUUAUGUUCUCAAGUUGCAUUUAUUUACCUAUGAAUGCCUCAAGUUUAUCUUUCUUUAUGGCAGCAUAGUACUCCAUUGUGUAAAACACCACAUUUUCCGUCAGACACUACAAGCUAAAAUAUCACAUGGUUUCUCCUAUAUGAGAAACUAUAUAUAUCAGCAAAAUAGAAGAGAGAUAAAUAGGAAGUAGAAAGAAGUUCAAAUACUCCCCAAAAUUACAUAUUCUGUUGUUCUAAAAAUAUUUCAAUUUAUAGCCUAAUUUGUUUCAUUUAAAUACUACUAGUUUAUGAUAGUUCACUGAUAAAUAAAAGGACCUGAAUUUACUUUCCUUCCUGAAACAGCAGUAAAACCUAGAAAAUAUACAAAACAACAAUUUUCAAGUCUGCCCUGUGUUAUCUGUUUCUUUUUUGUGAGAAUCUUUUUGGUUUAUGUCUUGUAUUGAGUAACUAUUUUUGAAGAAAACAGUACAUAGUGUAAUAACUUGAUAGUCUCAUUUCAUUAUGAAAAUUUCUUUUAUUUUUUCAAAAAAUAAAAGUAAAUAAAUAAAUGUCACAAAGCAAAAUUUUAAAAAACCAAUCCAGAAUUACACAGAUGUCAGAAUUAGCAGACAAAAAGAUAAUAGUUGGCAGACACGUUUUCUAUAUGUUCUAAUGGUGAAAGAUUAUUUUAAAAGACUCAAAGAUUCUGGAGAAGAAAAUGAUAAUUUCUAAGAUAAAGUCAUAUAGGAGAUGGAAUUAAUAGCAGAUUGGUCACGGUAGAAAAAAGAUGAAUGAACUUGAAGACAUGGCAAUAGAAAAUAUCCAAAAUAAAAUACAGGAAAAAAAAUCCAAAUAAAUGACAAAAGCAUUGACAAGCUGUGGAACAACUUCAUGGAGCUUAAUAUAUGUGCAACCAGAAUAUGUAAAGGCAUUCUGGCUGAGAAUUUUUUAAAAUGACAGGAGAAAUAUAAAACCAAAUAGAUUAAAUGCAAGACAAAAAUGAAAACAAGAAGCCAUACUUGAAUAACAUGGAAGAAUAUCUGAAAUCAAAGACAAAGAAAAAAUAUUAAAAGCACCCAGAGGAAAAUAAAAACAUGUUACAUUUAUGAGAAAAACAUGUUAUAUUUAUGACAAUAGAAACAGAGCCAGAAGAACAGCAUCAUGGAAGUGUUAAACAUAAAUAAAAAGGAGCUAAAUACCUGCCCACCUAGAAUUCUAUACCCCAAGACAAUCACCUUCAAAAUAAAGGCAUACAACGUUGUGAAAUAAUAAAAAACUCAGAUAAUCCAUUUUCUGUAGAAUCAUACAAAUAAAAUACUGAAAAAGAUCUUCAUAUGGAAAGAAAAUAAUUUUAGAAGGAAGUAUUGUAGGCAGAUAAAAGAUGAAGAGUACUGAGAAAGAUAAUUGUGAGGGUCAAUCUAUAUAAAUAAUAAAAAUAUCCUGCAUGUAAAAAAUAUAUAUAGUGGUAAAAAAACAAUAUGAAAGCAGUGGCAUAAAAGUGAAGUGAGGAUUCUAAAUCCAGGAAAUGGUAAAAUUACCAAGCUAAGGGCCGGGGAUUUAGUGCAGUGGUUU